rnacentral:tRNA from 1 species
GGUAAAAUGGCUGAAUUAGGCGAUAGAUUGUAAAUUUAUUUAUGAGAAAUUUCUCUUUUACU